AACAGGUUAAUAUUCCUGUACUUGGUGUUACUGCGAAGGGGGGACGGAGAAGGCUAUGUUAGCCGGGCGACGGUUGUCCCGGUUUAAGCAUGUAGGCUGGUUAUCCAGGCAAAUCCGGAUAACCAAGGCUGAGGUGUGAUGACGAGGCACUACGGUGCUGAAGUAACAAAUGCCCUGCUUCCAGGAAAAGCCUCUAAGCAUCAGGUAACAUCAAAUCGUACCCCAAACCGACACAGGUGGUCAGG
rnacentral:rRNA from 1 species